GAUUUGCAGCCGCUGUACCAUUAGGCAUUUUCACUAAAGGCACUGCUGCGCUUGAUAAGUGCAUAGAGGACGGAAGAUGGCUCACAUCUUUCUCUUAAAAAUGCAGGAAACUGAUCAACCAACUGGAGAGGUGCCUGUGGCUGCCUGUUUAACGAAGGAUUUGAGCCAUGAGAGCCAGGCGGACCCAUACUCUGCUCUGCAUCGUUUGAAAGAGAAAAUGAACAGCAGCCCAGAGCUGAUAUUAAAUGCUGCAUGUUCUGCACACUGACGUCUGCCAACACUGCACUCGUACCUUAAAUGAGUCUCCACUUAAUAAACUUUGCUCACACAUAGUUUGUCUGUCCCCAUGUUUGCAAAAUAACAGCAAAAUUCUGUGAUGCUUCCUGAUUAAA